GAUGAAGAACGCAGCGAAAUGCGAUAAGUAAUGUGAAUUGCAGAAUUCAGUGAAUCAUCGAAUCUUUGAACGCACAUUGCGCCCCUUGGUAUUCCGAGGGGCAUGCCUGUUCGAGCGUCAUUAUAACCCCUCAAGCUCAGCUUGGUGUUGGGGCCUGCUGCACUGGCAGCCCUUAAAAUCAGUGGCGGCGCCAUCUGGCUCUAAGCGUAGUAAUUCUUCUCGCUAUGGAGUCCUGGUGGAUGCUUGCCAUCAACCCCCAAUUUUUCUAUGGUUGACCUCGGAUCAGGUAGGGAUACCCGCUGAACUUAAGCAUACAAUAAGCGGAGGA
rnacentral:misc_RNA from 1 species